rnacentral:rRNA from 1 species
CACCGCCCGUCACACCAUGAGAGCUGUUUGUACCCGAAGCCAUCUUAGCUAACUUGAAAGAGAAGCGGGUGUCUAAGGUAUGGGGAGUGAUUGGGGUG